AAUAUAAUCUAAUUUUGAGUAAAGUAUAUAUUUUUGUCUCUAAAGUUUGGUAAAAAUUUUAAAAAUACUCAUAAGUUUUAUUUUAUUUCAAUUUUGUUUCAAAAAAUUUC